rnacentral:rRNA from 1 species
ACUUAAAUUGAAGAGUUUGAUCAUGGCUCAGAUUGAACGCUGGCGGCAGGCCUAACACAUGCAAGUCGAGCGGUAGCACAGAGAGCUUGCUCUCGGGUGACGAGCGGCGGACGGGUGAGUAAUGUCUGGGAAACUGCCUGAUGGAGGGGGAUAACUACUGGAAACGGUAGCUAAUACCGCAUAACGUCGCAAGACCAAAGUGGGGGACCUUCGGGCCUCAUGCCAUCAGAUGUGCCCAGAUGGGAUUAGCUGGUAGGUGGGGUAACGGCUCACCUAGGCGACGAUCCCUAGCUGGUCUGAGAGGAUGACCAGCCACACUGGAACUGAGACACGGUCCAGACUCCUACGGGAGGCAGCAGUGGGGAAUAUUGCACAAUGGGCGCAAGCCUGAUGCAGCCAUGCCGCGUGUGUGAAGAAGGCCUUCGGGUUGUAAAGCACUUUCAGCGGGGAGGAAGGCGAUAAGGUUAAUAACCUUGUCGAUUGACGUUACCCGCAGAAGAAGCACCGGCUAACUCCGUGCCAGCAGCCGCGGUAAUACGGAGGGUGCAAGCGUUAAUCGGAAUUACUGGGCGUAAAGCGCACGCAGGCGGUCUGUCAAGUCGGAUGUGAAAUCCCCGGGCUCAACCUGGGAACUGCAUUCGAAACUGGCAGGCUAGAGUCUUGUAGAGGGGGGUAGAAUUCCAGGUGUAGCGGUGAAAUGCGUAGAGAUCUGGAGGAAUACCGGUGGCGAAGGCGGCCCCCUGGACAAAGACUGACGCUCAGGUGCGAAAGCGUGGGGAGCAAACAGGAUUAGAUACCCUGGUAGUCCACGCUGUAAACGAUGUCGAUUUGGAGGUUGUGCCCUUGAGGCGUGGCUUCCGGAGCUAACGCGUUAAAUCGACCGCCUGGGGAGUACGGCCGCAAGGUUAAAACUCAAAUGAAUUGACGGGGGCCCGCACAAGCGGUGGAGCAUGUGGUUUAAUUCGAUGCAACGCGAAGAACCUUACCUGGUCUUGACAUCCACAGAACUUAGCAGAGAUGCUUUGGUGCCUUCGGGAACUGUGAGACAGGUGCUGCAUGGCUGUCGUCAGCUCGUGUUGUGAAAUGUUGGGUUAAGUCCCGCAACGAGCGCAACCCUUAUCCUUUGUUGCCAGCGGUUCGGCCGGGAACUCAAAGGAGACUGCCAGUGAUAAACUGGAGGAAGGUGGGGAUGACGUCAAGUCAUCAUGGCCCUUACGACCAGGGCUACACACGUGCUACAAUGGCAUAUACAAAGAGAAGCGACCUCGCGAGAGCAAGCGGACCUCAUAAAGUAUGUCGUAGUCCGGAUUGGAGUCUGCAACUCGACUCCAUGAAGUCGGAAUCGCUAGUAAUCGUAGAUCAGAAUGCUACGGUGAAUACGUUCCCGGGCCUUGUACACACCGCCCGUCACACCAUGGGAGUGGGUUGCAAAAGAAGUAGGUAGCUUAACCUUCGGGAGGGCGCUUACCACUUUGUGAUUCAUGACUGGGGUGAAGUCGUAACAAGGUAACCGUAGGGGAACCUGCGGUUGGAUCACCUCCUUACCUUAAAGAA